rnacentral:rRNA from 1 species
CCUUUAAAGAAAGCGUAAUAGCUCACUAGUCGAGUCGGCCUGCGCGGAAGAUAUACCGGGGCUCAAACUGAUAACCGAAGCUGUGGGCGCAUAUUUAUAUGCGCGGUAGAGGAGCGUUCUGUAAGCCGUUGAAGGUGGAUCGUAAGGUCUGCUGGAGGUAUCAGAAGUGCGAAUGCUGACAUGAGUAGCGAUAAAGGGGGUGAAAAGCCCCCUCGCCGAAAGCCCAAGGUUUCCUGCUCAACGUUCAUCGGAGCAGGGUGAGUCGGCCCCUAAGGCGAGGGCGAAAGCCGUAGUCGAUGGGAAUCUGGUUAAUAUUCCAGAACCACCAUGUAAUGCGAUGGGGUGACGGAGAAGGUUAGGCAAACCGGGUGUUGGAUGUCCCGGUGAAGUGUGUAGGCGGAGCUCUUAGGCAAAUCCGGGAGCUCAUUAACGCUGAGGCACGGGACCAGCGAAGCUUGCUUCGUGAAGUUGCUAAUACCAUGCUUCCAAGAAAAACCUCUAAGCUUCAGUUACAUGGGACCGUACCGUAAACCGACACAGGUGGGCGGGAUGAGAAUUCUAAGGCGCUUGAGAGAACUCAGGAGAAGGAACUCGGCAAAUUGACACCGUAACUUCGGAAGAAGGUGUGCCCUGUUAGGGUGAAGGGACUUGCUCCCGGAGCUCGAGAGGGUUUCAGAGAAUCGGUGGCUGCGACUGUUUAUUAAAAACAUAGCACUGUGCUAACACGAAGAGUGGACGUAUACGGUGUGACGCCUGCCCGGUGCUGGAAGGUUAAAUGAUGGGGUGCAAGCUCUUGAUUGAAGCCCCAGUAAACGGCGGCCGUAACUAUAACGGUCCUAAGGUAGCGAAAUUCCUUGUCGGGUAAGUUCCGACCUGCACGAAUGGCGUAACGAUGGCCACACUGUCUCCUCCUGAGACUCAGCGAAGUUGACAUGGUUGUGAUGAUGCAAUCUACCCGCGGCUAGACGGAAAGACCCCGUGCACCUUUACUGCAGCUUUGCAUUGGACUGUGAUGGAAUUUGUGUAGGAUAGCUGGGAGGCUAUGAAGAGUAGACGCUAGUUUGCUUGGAGCCAUCCUUGAAAUACCAGCCUGAUUGUAUUGCGGUUCUAACCUAGGUCCCUUAUCGGGAUCGGGGACCAUGCAUGGUAGGCAGUUUGACUGGGGCGGUCUCCUCCCAAAGAGUAACGGAGGAGUUCGAAGGUUCGCUAGGUACGGUCGGACAUCGUACUGAUAGUGCAUUGGCAUAAGCGAGCUUGACUGCGAGACUGACGGGUCGAGCAGGUGCGAAAGCAGGACAAAGUGAUCCGGUGGUUCUGAAUGGAAGGGCCAUCGCUCAACGGAUAAAAGGUACGC